rnacentral:rRNA from 1 species
CAGUAGCCACGGGAAUACGGAGGGGGCUAGCGUUGUUCGGAAUUACUGGGCGUAAAGCGCACGUAGGCGGCUUGGUAAGUUAGAGGUGAAAGCCCGGGGCUCAACCCCGGAAUUGCCUUUAAGACUGCCGAGCUAGUAGGUGAGAGAGGUGAGUGGAAUUCCGAGUGUAGAGGUGAAAUUCGUUGAUAUUCGGAAGAACACCAGUGGCGAAGGCGGCCCGCUGGACAUGUAUUGACGCUGAGGUGCGAAAGCGUGGGGAGCAAACAGGAUUAGAUACCCCUGUAGUCCCUGUCUCUUAUAC